CUGGCCACGUGUCACCCGACGAAUGGCGCCGCCGACUGCACGCCAGGCACGGAAGACGAAGCGUCUCUCUGCCCUCUCGCCUCUCAGCAUCGACGACCCCUCGGGUCCCAGGUCAGUCUCUCCCGAACGAUAUCUUUCGAAAGGAUCGACACAAGCAUCCUUUCCUCCCCCCAAACGAGCCUACCGAACGGCAGGGUAACCUCCGAACUGCCCUAGAGAACUAAAUUCCCUUCCGAAGGACCUUCGGAAGAGAACUUAGGGGACUACUGUUUAUACCGGAGACAAAGGCUUAUGACCACCCAACACGUGGACAGGAUCGAUAUUGAUCGCAGAAACCCUUCGGCAUGCUGCCUAUCGAAGCCGUCCAUUUUGACCCUUUUACUACCGGACACGUGUCAUACUCACAAUUCGUGUCCACAGUCCCACAUCGAAAAUAUGAG
rnacentral:lncRNA from 1 species